CGUACACUCCUGCGGGAGGCAGCAGUGGGGAAUAUUGGACAAUGGGCGCAAGCCUGAUCCAGCCAUGCCGCGUGAGUGAUGAAGGCCCUAGGGUUGUAAAGCUCUUUCACCGGAGAAGAUAAUGACGGUAUCCGGAGAAGAAGCCCCGGCUAACUUCGUGCCAGCAGCCGCGGUAAUACGAAGGGGGCUAGCGUUGUUCGGAAUUACUGGGCGUAAAGCGCACGUAGGCGGAUCGAUCAGUCAGGGGUGAAAUCCCAGGGCUCAACCCUGGAACUGCCUUUGAUACUGUCGAUCUGGAGUAUGGAAGAGGUGAGUGGAAUUCCGAGUGUAGAGGUGAAAUUCGUAGAUAUUCGGAGGAACACCAGUGGCGAAGGCGGCUCACUGGUCCAUUACUGACGCUGAGGUGCGAAAGCGUGGGGAGCAAACAGGAUUAGAAACCCUUGUAGUCCCA
rnacentral:rRNA from 1 species